GUAGGUGGCAAGCGUUGUCCGGAAUUAUUGGGCGUAAAGCGCGCGCAGGCGGUUCUUUAAGUCUGAUGUGAAGCCCACGGCUCAACCGUGGAGGGUCAUUGGAAACUGGAGAACUUGAGUACAGAAGAGGAAAGCGGAAUUCCACGUGUAGCGGUGAAAUGCGUAGAGAUGUGGAGGAACACCAGUGGCGAAGGCGGCUUUCUGGUCUGUAACUGACGCUGAGGCGCGAAAGCGUGGGGGAGCAAACAGGAUUAGAUACCCUGGUAGUCCACGCCGUAAACGAUGAGUGCUAAGUGUUAGGGGGUUUCCGCCCCUUAGUGCUGCAGCUAACGCAUUAAGCACUCCGCCUGGGAGUACGGCCGCAAGGCUG
rnacentral:rRNA from 1 species